GGGUGCCGCAAGGCUUAAUAGGGAAAUCGGUAGAAUCCGAUACGGUCCCGCCGCUGUAAGGGGAGCAACUUCUAUAAUGUCACUGGAGAAUUUCUGGGAAGGCAGAAGAAGCGAUGAACCUAAGUCAGAAGAACUGCCCAUUGU
rnacentral:ncRNA from 1 species